rnacentral:rRNA from 1 species
UACGAAGGGGGCUAGCGUUGCUCGGAAUUACUGGGCGUAAAGGGCGCGUAGGCGGAUAGUUUAGUCAGAGGUAAAAGCCCAGGGCUCAACCUUGGAACUGCCUUUGAUACUGGCUAUCUUGAGUUCGGGAGAGGUGAGUGGAAUGCCGAGUGUAGAGGUGAAAUUCGUAGAUAUUCGGCGGAACACCAGUGCGAAGGCGACUCACUGGCCCGAUACUGACGCUGAGGCGCGAAAGCGUGGGGAGCAAACAGGG